CACCUGUCACGUCACGCACCUGUUUCACGUUCGGACUCACACACACCUGUCACCAAUCAUGUCACUGUUAUUUAAGCCUACCUUUGUUCAUCACUCGUUCUGCCUGCGUUGUUUUGAUGUCACACCGGUUUAUGUCUUGCUCUGACCAAGUAAGUUUCCCUGUCCAUGCCAUAGCUUCUGCUAAAGAUUAGCCUCACUUGCGUUUUAGGCACGCUUGCCUUUUUUUGUUGUUGUUGUAUUGUUUAUGUUUGUGGUAGUGCGUGAUUUAUGUUAAUAAAUCCUAGCCUACCUUCA